AAUCUGUUGUUCUGCCCCUGAACAAGGCAGUUAACCCACCGUUCCUAGGACGUCAUUGAAAAUAAGAAUGUGUUCUUAACUGACUUGCCUAGUUAAAUAAAGGUCUAAAAAAAAAAAAAAAAUUGUUAAUAAUAAAUACAAAUCGCCAAAUCAAUGUCCAAAAAUACCGAUUUCCGAUUGUUAUGAAAACUUGAAAUCGCCCCUAAUUAAUCGGCCAUUCCGAUUAAUCGGUCGACCUCUACUCCCAAUGUGUAACCCUUACCUGGGGGGGCAGCCAUAUUUCACCAGAACACUGAGGUGGGUGAAGGGGGGGCAUUUGGCUGACUAUUACAGAGGACAAACAAGAUGAUGUAGGAAGCAUCAAUUCGAAGGUGUAAGAGCUCCAGACAUUGACACUCCACUAGAUACAGCUAGAUGCUGGGUAGAGUUUUUAGUUUGCAUGCAGUUUCAGAUUUGUUUUCUGGACAUUUAAAGGGAUAGUUCACAACAAAUUAGUCUAAUUUCCCACUUACAGUGGCUGUAGGUGUAGAUGAUUCAUCAAAACGUCAAUUUGAUUAUAGCGCAAUAAAGUAAGGUCUGUCGUGUCCAUUACUAUUUUGAGUGAAUUAUCUCUGUUUUGUACUAUAUCUAAAAUAAUGACACAAUUUAUUGAAUGUAUGAUGGCAAUUGUUUUCUUAUGAAGGUGAGCAGAUUGGGUCUCUGCAGUACAUACAAGAAACAAAUACUCUUUAUACAGCCUAUGUACUGAAUCUAUAACCUACUUUAUCUGAUAGUGUUGUCUUGGUGUGUGUGAUCUAUAGUAGUGUUAUCUUGGUGUGUGAUAAAUAGUUGUGUUGUAACUGAUUAAUUACACUACCGUUCAAAAGUUUGAGGUCACUUAGAAAUGUCCUUGUUUUUAGAAAGAAAAACAUUUUUUUUUGUCCAUUAAAAUAACAUCAAAUUGAUCAGAAGUACAGUGUAGACAUUGUUAAUGUUGUAAAUGACUAUUGUAGCUGGAAACAGCAGAUUUUUCAUGGAAUGUUUACAUAGGCGUACAGAGGCCCAUUAUCCGCAACCAUCACUCCUGUGUUCCAAUGGCACGUUGUGUUAGCUAAUCCAAGUUUAUAAUUUUAAAAGGCUAAUUGAUCAUUAGAAAACCCUUUUGCAAUUAUGUUAGCACAGCUAAAAACUGUUGUUUUGAUUUAAAGAAGCAAUAAAACUGGCCUUCUUUAGACCAGUUAAGUAUUUGGAGGAUCAGCAUUUGUGGGUUCGAUUACAGGCUCAAAAUGGCCAGAAACAAAGAACGUUCUUCUGAACCUCGUCCGUCUACUCUUGUUCUGAGAAAUUAAGGCUAUUCCAUGAGAGAAAUUGCCAAGAAACAGAAGAUCUCGUACAACGCUGUGUGCUACACCCUUCACAGAACAGCGCAAACUGGCUCUAACCAGAAUAGAAAGAGGAGUGGGAGGCCCUGGUGCACAACUGAGCAAGAGGACAAGUACAUUAGAGUGUCUGUUUCUCAGAGUAGACACUCUAAUGGACAAACAAAUUGCUUUUCUUUCAAAAACAAGGACAUUUCUAAGUGACCCCAAACUUUUGAAAGGUAGUGUACAUUGUAUUUAUUCUAAAUGAUUAGGCAACUGUUAUAAGAAUGUGUCAAUGACUUGAUAUCUAUUAAGUCGUUACAUUGACUAAUAAAUAUGAACAACAAUGUUAAGGCUGUUUAACCAAACUGUGCACAAUGCAAUAAAUUAUUUUAAAAAAAUUGUA